UCCCGUAGAGAUAGGGAGUGCUUGCUUGCAAGAACCUAAAGACAGGUGCUGCACGGCUGUCGUCAGCUCGUGUCGUGAGAUGUUGGGUUAAGUCCCGCAACGAGCGCAACCCCCGUCAUUAGUUGCUAACGGGUUAUGCCGAGAACUCUAAUGAGACUGCCUUCGUAAGGAGGAGGAAGGUGGGGACGACGUCAAGUCAUCAUGGCCCUUAUGCCUGGGGCGACACACGUGCUACAAUGGUAUGUACAGAGAGACGCAAUACGGCGACGUGGAGCAAAUCUCUAAAACAUAUCUCAGUUCGGAUUGUAGUCUGCAACUCGACUACAUGAAGCUGGAAUCGCUAGUAAUCGCGGAUCAGCAUGCCGCGGUGAAUACGUUCCCGGGCCUU
rnacentral:rRNA from 1 species